CAUAGACAGUUCACAUACCCUACUGUCCGCCCGGGAACUACGAGCACCAGCUUAAAACCCAAAGGACUUGGCGGUGCUUUACACCCACCUAGAGGAGCCUGUUCUAGAACCGAUAAUCCCCGUUCAACCUCACCCUUCCUUGUUCUUUCCGCCUAUAUACCGCCGUCGUCAGUUUACCCCAUGAGGGCCUAAUAGUAAGCAAAAUCGGCACAACCCAAAACGUCAGGUCGAGGUGUAGCGUAUGGAAGGGGAAGAAAUGGGCUACAUUCCCUACUAUAGGGUAUACGAAUGAUUUCGCUGAAAUGCAUUUCUGAAGGAGGAUUUAGCAGUAAGCAGGAA
rnacentral:rRNA from 1 species